rnacentral:rRNA from 1 species
CCUACGGGAGGCAGCAGUGGGGAAUAUUGGACAAUGGGGGAAACCCUGAUCCAGCAAUGCCGCGUGAGUGAUGAAGGCCUUAGGGUUGUAAAACUCUUUCGGCGGGGAAGAUGAUGACUGUACCCGCUAAAGAAGCUCCGUCUAACUUCGUACCAGCAGACGCGGUAAUACGAAGGGGGCUAGCGUUGUUCGGAAUUACUGGGCGUAAAGAGCGUGUAGGCGGUUUUGUAAGUUGGAGGUGAAAUCCCCGAGCUUAACUCGGGAACUGCCUUCAAUACUGCAUUACUAGAGUUCGAGAGAGGAUGGCGGAAUUCCAAGUGUAGAGGUGGAAUUCGUAGAUAUUUGGAAGAACACCAAAGGCGAAGGCAGCCAUCUGGCUCGUUUCUGACGCUGAGACGCGAAAGCGUGGGUAGCAAACAGGAUUAGAUACCCUGGUAGUCCACGCCGUAAACGAUGAGUGCUUGCUGUCGGGUUUUUACUCGGUGGCGAAGCUAACGCGUUAAGCACUCCGCCUGGGGAGUACGAUCGCAAGAUUAAAACUCAAAGGAAUUGACGG